UUAGGGCUAAUUAGAAGUGAAUUUAAGUUUUUAUUGUAAUUCAUCUUUAGUUUAAAAUAUCUUGACUAGCAAUUUUUUCAAUAUCAUAUUGAUUCAUUUUUAAGAUAUAAUAUGACGUAGUUGCCAACAGCACUCAGAUUCUCGGUGGUACCCAGCAAGUCAUGGGUACUGAAACUCCAACACAUUCAAGGAAAUUUUAAUAACACCACUACCCUGCCAGGCAAAGGUGGUGAAAAAGCUGGUUAAACAGAAGUUUUUUAAACCCACAAAAGUGGUAAAAAAGUGGUGAGUUUGCCAUAGGCCAGCAUAGCUGCUUGUGAGUUUUUUAACCACUAUUCCCCUCAUACGUACGAAUACAAAAACAAAACAACCCAAACGUGUGCGUUGGUGUUAGUAAUUGAAGAAACAUGAGGGGAAAGUGGUUAGGCCUGGCUGGCAGGGUACAUACACACAUAUGCAACAAAGGGCAAAAUGUGCAUAAACAUUUACCUCAACUCUUCUCUCGUACAGCACUCUGAAUGAUAGAAAGAAACAACCAAAGUGCCCGUGUUUGAUCAAGUUUUGUUUUGAGCUAUAUCAUGGCUGCUUGUGAAUUAUUGUUUUUCGUGUGUUAUUUAAAUUAGUGAUCUGCAGCCUAAUUAAAGUUUAAAUUAUUGAAGCACGUAAUUAUUGAAAAUAAAAUAAAAGUUUUCUAAAGCCAAAAUAUGGAAUAGAAGAGGGUGAUACAUUAAUACUUCAUUGCACUGUCAAUUCGAAGCACGCAAUAGAAGCUACGCCAACAAUUGUCAACAUCAAUGGCGAAACCAUUGAAUACAUAUUUCAAACCUCAUAUGGCGCGUUAAAGGUACGCAAACUUAUUGGUGUCACUUAUGGCGUAGAACUUUCGAAGCGAUGGAAUAUGUGCUGCAAGAUAAUCCAGAACUAUGUAUGGAAACGCUGCUACAUGGAACACAAAUCAUUUACACACCAGAUAUUUAGUUUAAUGUCACUUUUUUACGUGCCAUUAAACCUUUUGGUCAACACAAGCACGAGAAUUGGAACGACAUGGUUUAGGUGCUUUUGAAACCGUUUAUUAUCACGACGUGUGUCAACUGGGUUUUGCCAAUGAGCUAGAGGGCAAAGCAGUUUCAGUAUUUUUGGGCUUACCGGCACUUGGCCGUGCCAUUAGCAGCCAAAACACAGAAAUUAAAGAGAGGACUUUUUUGAUUAAUUAUCAUCUUGUAUUGAGGAAUCAUAACGUUGUUGUAUCUCUUUACAAGGACAUAAAUUCACCGAAAUUAGUUCAAUGGAAAUACUACAGCAAGAGCAUGGAUGUUAAGACUUGAACCGUGCUAGAUUUAGAAUUCCUUAAACAUAAGAAUCCCUCCUCCCAGAUGAAUUUAGUACUAGUGAAAUUAAUGAAAGAACAGAUCUUAUAAAAACUCCUAAGGAAACCAAAAGAGUCCUCACAUAAUGUGCGCAGCUUACACAUCGAGCCCGCACGGGGUAUUUGACAUUUGUCAGUCUUCCUCCAGCCUUUGUCCGAUAGCAAAAAUUGUUCAACUAUUCAAUUCUUUAUACAUAUGUGUAUAGUGUAGUACGAUAAUAUAUGUAUAAAGUUAAUAUAAUAAUAAACACCUAAAUGACAUGAUUUUGCGGUAUUCGCCGCCAAUGUUUAAGGGACCAUAAAUCCGCAAAACCUUUCUCUCGAAAACUCCAAGUGCCGUCUCAUCGGAUGUUGACACCGUCCACGCUUCUGCACCAUAAAGUAGGACGGGAAUGAUGAGGGAUUUGUAGAGUUUAGUUUUUGCUCAUCGAGAGAGGACUUUACUUUUCAAUUGCCUACUCAGACCAUAAACACAAAUACUUUGCACCAAGGGAGGAUUACAAUAGCUACAACUUUUCUUAGGCAUGAUAAACAAGACAACAACAAAUCCCAUCGGACAUUUAGAUUAGCAGUUGCACAACCUCUUUUCGACGAGCUGAACCUUUUUAUGAUGUACAUAUGGGAUCGGAUUGUGUGGAAUUGACAUCAAACAAUAUUGGUUCAUUAGUUUCGUUGGAUCCUUACAGGAUAGUUAUAAUUCAUUUGCAAAAUAUUAUUAAAUAAUACAAAUGAAUGUUCGAAUACUAAUAAUAUUCGCAAUAGUAAUGGAAUUUUGUUUGAAUUGUAUAACAACAACUACAAAAAAUAAAAAAGGAAUAAUUAAUACUAAAUUUAUAUAUGAAAUAUGUAAAAAGUAAAAAUUUAAUAAUAAAUACUACCUUUAUUUUUAAAAUAUGUAAAUUUUGUCAAUGUAUAAAUAUAAAUGUUUGGUCCUCGGUAUGAUGUAUGGCGCUGAAGCGUGGACGAUGACAACAUCCGAUGAGACGACUCUUGGGGUUUUCGAGAGAAAGGUUUUGCGCAAGAUUUAUGGUCCUCUAAACAUUGGCAACGGCGAAUACCGCAGACGAUGGAACGAUGAGCUGUACGAUUUAUACGACGACAUUGACAUAGUUCAGCGAAUAAAAAGACAGCGGCUACGCUGGCUAGGUCAUGUUGUACGGAUGGAAGAAAACACUCCAGCUCUGAAAGUAUUCGAUGCAGUACCCGCUGGAGGAAGCCGCGGAAGAGGACGACCUCCACUCCGGUGGAAAGACCAAGUGCAAAGUGACCUGGCUUCACUUGGUGUUUCCAGUUGGCGCCAAAAAGCAAAAAGGAGGAAUGAGUGGCGCGCUCUGGUGGAUUCGGCUAUAAUCGCUUAAAGCGGUUCCUACGCCAAAUAUAUAUAUAUAUAUAAAUAUAAAUGUAUAAAAAAUCAGUGUAUAAAUAGCUGCAAAAACCUUUGUAAAAAAUCAAUGUAUAAAUAGCUGCAAAAAAGUUUGUAAAAAGUUCACUUUGUACUGAAAUGCUAAUAUUUAAAAAUUAAUCUAUAAUGAUU